rnacentral:rRNA from 1 species
UACGUAGGGUGCAAGCGUUGUCCGGAAUUAUUGGGCGUAAAGCGCGUGUAGGCGGCUUAGCAAGUCGGGUGUGAAAGCCCUCAGCUUAACUGAGGAAGUGCGCCCGAAAACUACUGAGCUUGAGUACCGGAGAGGAUGGCGGAAUUCCCGGUGUAGAGGUGAAAAUUCGUAGAUAUCGGGAGGAACACCAGUGCGAAGGCGGCCAUCUGGACGGAUACUGACGCUGAGACGCGAAAGCGUGGGGAGCAAACAGG